UGUUUAUUUUACCUUGUUGCUUCGGCGGGCCCGCCUUAACUGGCCGCCGGGGGGCUUACGUCCCCGGGCCCGCGCCCGCCGAAGACACCCUCGAACUCUGUCUGAAGAUUGUAGUCUGAGUGAAAAUAUAAAUUAUUUAAAACUUUCAACAACGGAUCUCUUGGUUCCGGCAUCGAUGAAGAACGCAGCGAAAUGCGAUACGUAAUGUGAAUUGCAAAUUCAGUGAAUCAUCGAGUCUUUGAACGCACAUUGCGCCCCCUGGUAUUCCGGGGGGCAUGCCUGUCCGAGCGUCAUUGCUGCCCUCAAGCACGGCUUGUGUGUUGGGCCCCGUCCUCCGAUCCCGGGGGACGGGCCCGAAAGGCAGCGGCGGCACCGCGUCCGGUCCUCGAGCGUAUGGGGCUUUGUCACCCGCUCUGUAGGCCCGGCCGGCGCUUGCCGAUCAACCCAAAUUUUUAUCCAGGUUGACCUCGGAUCAGGUAGGGAUACCCGCUGAACUUAAGCAUAUCAAU
rnacentral:rRNA from 1 species